rnacentral:misc_RNA from 1 species
CACAUAUGACUUGAGUUGAGAUAGAGCUUUGCUCGUGUACCAAAUCAGGUGGGCUGGGCUGCCAUGGUGGAAAUGCUGUGGUGGCUUGUCCACGAAUUGCAAUCAUAAUAUGGGCGGGGGUGAAUCCUUUGCAGACGACUUGAAUGGGAACGGGGUACUGUAAGCGGUAGAGUAGCCUUGUUGCUACGAUCCGCUGAGGUUAAGCCCUUGUUCUAUAGAUUUGUUCAACAUUUUGGUGAACUCUUUUCUCUCUUCUUGGAGGUUGGGACUUGAGGGCCGGUCAAUCAGAGGUGAGUACUUGUCUGUGAGGGGGGGGGAGGACAUUGGACUAGAGUUGACGGCAUGAUGACUUUCAAUUCUCUUCCCCGUCCUAUGCGACUAUGCCGAGAAACAGAGCAGGCCUGUCUUUGAUGGGCCAGGGACUUUCAAAGUCCCACAGAGCACCAGCCAGUGCCCUUUGUCUGACCGGUCACAGUUCGAGUCCUCCCUUGUGUAUCAUAUAGUUAGUUGUAGUUCAGUCACUGACUGACCUCUAGGUGGACUCUGGGUGCAUGUUUCUGAUGUUGUGAGGCUAAGGUGAGUGACUCUGCCGUCUGGUCAAAUCUCUUGGGGUUUCCUCCCUUGUGCAUGAUGAAAAUCACCAUCCGACAUUCGCAGUUUUCACUCUAGUGCCCUCCCGGUCAGGGAGAACUCCCCCAAUGCGGAACAUCCACAUUCCUCCUUGAAGGCAUGCCUGAACCCACUAAAGGGCAUGUGCAAGUGUUAGGCCACCAGCUUUUGGCUGGUGUGCUGGAUGGGAAGCGGGGGUUGGUACGGUGCGGGGUCUGAACAGACCUUCCUUUGGAUGUCUGAAUCUGCACAAAGGAUGAAUGACUGAUUGGGCUGACUGACCUAUGGGUAUAUAGGGUUACUGAUGUAUG